CAGCGCCACGAGUGGAGAUCACUAUUAUUGGGUCUAAAGAGUUCGUAGCUGGUUUUGUAAGUUUUUUGUGAAAUUUCUUUGGCUUAACCAGGAAAUUGCAAGAAAUACUGCAAGACUUGAGACCGGGAAGGAUAAGAAGUAUUGUUUGGGUAGCGGUUAAAUGUUUUAAUCCUUACAAGACUAACUAAGGCGAAGGCAUCUUAUUAGAACGGAUCUGACAGUGAGGAACGAAAGCUGGGGGAGCGAACCGGAUUAGAGACCCGAGUAGUCC
rnacentral:rRNA from 1 species